AACAUCGAAUAAAACUAAGUCGCUCUGUAAAUCGGGCGAUAGCCGAUUUAACUCACGAAAAACUUUUCUCAAGUACUACUCCUCCUGCAACCCUAAAUCCUAAAUUCAUGACUACCCAAUUCUUCCCAGCUAAUCAUCUUUAUCCACCGGUCCUUUAACAAUGUAGUCUAUUAAGUUAUGGGUGUGGGUAUGAUUUAACAUUGGCGUUACUUUAGACCUAAUUCAUGGUGUUGCUCGUUUAACCUAAUUCAUGGUGUUGAUGCCUAACCUCCAGUAUUUUUCUAUUUCAAUUAAUUGUUGGUUGAUAAUUCACAAAAGCAUCUGAAUUCUAUUGAUUGAUGGCUUGAUUUAUUGCUUCUCGGAUAUGACUGAUAUUCAGAGGAAUUUCGUCUGCGCCCCUUAAAGAUCGACUUCAACAUGAGUUUCUCACCUUUCUUCUCUACUUUUUUAAAGGCAGAGCUUCUUCGAUUCAAGUUCCAAGGGUUUUCACUGUUCAUCCUCUAAAUAAUCUUACUGUCUGCUCAGAACAUUUUCAUAUUCUCCUUUGAGGAGGAAGACUUUUGAAGUGGCAUUAGGAGAAUGUUACAGGCAGACGGUCAACUGGAUUGAUUUUGUAUACCAAGAACUCCCUAGGUUGUUCUGCAGUUUCUGUCGAAGACUUGGGCAUGUUCACCAGGAUUGCGUUGAUGUUUUCUUACUCAACCAACAAGAAUUACAGAUCCAAGCUCCUCCUCAAAUUCUUCCUCAACCUGCUCUGCAAGCCCUUGGACCUUUUAUAGAACCAGAGUACGAUGAUGAUUACUAUGAAGAAAUGUUGCACAACGUGGACUUUGAAGACCCUGAUCCUGAUUAGAGUGACUGGGGUUUAAACCCAUUGGCAUCCCCUGCUUCCACUGAUAAAGACAAAUUUGUUAUCUCCUUCUUUGCUAGUGAGGGCUACCUUCAAGAUGGUUUUCACUCUGACUCUACCUCAGACACAGAAGGAACCAUUUCUGCAGCUUGGCUUGUAGAAGAAAACAAUAUCCUCAUUGAAGAUCACCUUCUUGAGCAAGUCUCUUUGCCUCCUUCUCAGCCUCCUGAAGUGCAGCAACCAUUCAGUCCCUCCAUCUUUCUUGUGUCUUAUAUUGAAGAAUCGGAACUCAUCUCUGAUACUGACAUGACAAGCCCAGCCAUCAAGAGAUCCAAUCCUGAGCAGCAAACUUACCUGCACAACUCUGGAAUCGGAUCUUCAUCAGGACCAGAUUAUUCAAGAAGAGUAUCCACUGAAGAAUAUGAACAAUGGAUUGAUCUCUAUCAGCCUGCCAAAAGAUUCAAGCCUGACUCUACAGAUCAACCAACCUGCUCACCAGAUACCAGCCACUUCAAUUGUUCUUACAACAAUGCUUCUACUGGUGACAAAUCCUCACAUACAGCCCCUCCUGCAGCACCUGCAAUUUCCAAGUAAUGAAAACACCAACAGUUCAGCCACACCCAGAACACCAAAGACUCAUUCAAAGGGUCGGUGGAUAACCUUUUUAUAUCUUAUAUUUUGCUUCAUCUCUGUUAAUAUUUCCGCCAUAUCAUGUAUAAUAGUCUGUUGUAGUUUACUCAGUUUGUUUCUAGGUUUAGCUGGUGUUUAUCACCAUUUUUUGCUUGCUCACUAGAUUUGUCUACUUAUUUUGAUAUCGUAUGCAUAUAAUAAAUCUGAUCAUAUAAAGGUUUUCUGUUGUAUAUACCUUUUCAAACUAAACUUUUUGUCUAUUUUAAUUUGCCGAUUUU